ensembl:snoRNA
CAGCAUGCUAUCCUAAGGACCGGCGCUUGUUUGUAGCUCCAGGUUCUCCAAGUGCAUGCAAGAAAACAGGGUGGUCUUUGACUGCUGUGGCCUCUCUCUGCCAUCAGCAGCCACUCAGCUGUCCUACAGAC